rnacentral:misc_RNA from 1 species
GGUCUGGGAGGUUAUGGAGCAGCUUUGUACUGUGGCACAGGGUGUUUACACAGAAGGGAAAGUCUUUGUGGUCGAAAAUUCUCUGAGGAUCAAACUUUUGAAUGGAAAAACAAGCUGCAAGAAAAAUCCUCUUAUAAAACUGUGGAAGAAUUAGAGGAAGCAUCGAAAAUUGUUGCAAAUUGUAGCUAUGAAGAAGGGACUCAAUGGGGAAAGCAGAUUGGGCUGUUGUAUGGAUUUCCGGUGGAAGAUAUACUCACAGGAUUAACGAUCCAGUGCAGAGGAUGGAAAUCAAUAUACUAUAAUCCAAGUAAACCUGCUUUUUUAGGCGUUUCUCCGACAAUCUUAGAUGUUGCUCUUGUUCAACAUAAGAGAUGGUCAGAAGGCAUGUUUCAGAUUUUCAUAUCGAAAUAUUGUCCCUUCAUAUAUGGCUAUGGCAAAAUCAAAUUGGGUGCUCAAAUGGGAUACUGCAUUUACCUUCUUUGGGCUCCUCUAUCUGUUCCUACACU